rnacentral:ncRNA from 1 species
CUUAACACAUGCAAGUCGAACGGGAAGUGGUGUUUCCAGUGGCGAACGGGUGAGUAACGCGUAAGAACCUGCCCUUGGGAGGGGAACAACAACUGGAAACGGUUGCUAAUACCCCGUAGGCCGAGGAGCAAAAGGAGAAAUCCACCCAAGGAGGGGCUCGCGUCUGAUUAGCUAGUUGGUGAGGUAAUAGCUUACCAAGGCGAUGAUCAGUAGCUGGUCCGAGAGGAUGAUCAGCCACACUAGGACUGAGACACGGUCCAGACUCCUACGGGAGGUGUAAGCACCGCG